GCGAACAGCUUGCAUUCUCAUAAUGGAUUGUGGAUCACCUAUGGUCACCUAUUUCAUUGUAGAUGCUCUAAUUUUCAGGUGCCUGGUAUUUAAUAUUUUAAAUAUUCCAACUUAGUAAGGUGCCACAUUUUGGGCUAGUCCAUAGAACUCCCUUGUGUUUUUGUUGGUUAAAGUGUAACACGUCCAAAUCCGCUACCAAAUGGUAUCUUCCCAUACAUCUGCUUUGUGAUGAUUAGAGGUUUGAAGUUGUAGCCCUGUAUGUCAUCGUUGUACAGUUUGAUGAGCUCGACUAUAAGCAACCACGCUGCCCAUGGAAAAGCAGUGGAAUAAAGUCCAUUCUUAGAAUUCAUUAGCACUGCCACUUAAAAAAUAAAACAAGUAUGUGACUAGGAUAAGAAGCAAAACUAUAAAGCCCAAGAAAAUAGCACAAUUAUGUUUUUGUAAAAAGAGAAGAAAAAAAACAUUGUGUAUGUAUCUGCAAAAAUGUAGUUAAAAUGUAUUCAGAUAAUUUGUUGAAUGCUACACAAUGCACAGUGUAGCUUGAUCCUUGUUUAAAACAAUGACACAGAUUAACCUUUUCAACAUUUCAUAUCUGGUAUUUGUGUGAAAUCUCAGAAACCCAGUGCUAAGUAUGGAAAAAGUGACCAUAUUUAUAUGGCAGCUCAAGAUCAUUUGCACUUUCAUGAGCUUUGACCUUGCCAACAGCAGAAGAAAAACCUACACCUUUACUUGUAUAUCGACAUUAAUAUAGAAUUGUGUAUUUUUAUUUUUUUUGUUUUUUCUUCUAUACUAGUGUUUCAGUCACAUGACCUUGUUUGUGAUUCACCUCCAAGCUAUCUAAAAGGGGUGUGAAGUCCCUACAUUGGCAGCUGACCAAUCUCAUUUUUAGUGAUUGUGCUAAAGGGAUUGGUAAUCUCCUUUUUUUUAAUAAGGUCCUGGUGUUUAUGUUAAAACAUCUUGCUUAUUAUUAUAAGUACCUCUUUAAAGGGGAAUUGAGCAAUAUUUGAUUGUGUCUAAGCAGAAAUCACUAGUUCAGCUUUGGUGCUCAAUGUUCAUAUUUGAUAACUGGUGCAAUUUGGCAGUGAUUGGCAGUGAUUGCUAAGCUUUACACUACUGAUGUUCUCGAUUUACAUUUUCCGUAAAGGCUGGCUAUGCAUCAUGGGGAAUGUAGUCCACAAACAUCCACCGUGCCAAGAUUAGCCGUCACUAGACCGUAUCGAGCGAGAUAGACGGCUUUACUCAUUAUCCGUGUAACAUGCAGAAACUUAUCGUUUUAUUCUGUUUAAAAACAGAUCUUGUACAAAAAUCAUCUGAAAAUGGUCUGAACAUUCACUAGGAAUUUCAAUUUCUAAAUAAAUCAAAUUAUUGCACUAUUGCAAGUGAAAAUGGGUAAAAAAUACACGUUUUAAGUUCUUCCAGGGAAUGUAACUGCAUAUUCUGCAUUUCAUGCUUUACUAGAAAAAAAAGAAUAGGUGAACUUAUUACGGAGAAGCCUUUAAAAAAUAAAUAAAUAAAUAAA